GCCUUGGUGGUAUAGUGGUAGUAGCACGCGUCCCCGGUAUGGAUGGAAUGCGGGUUCUAUUCCCAUCUGAGGCC